AGCCGGUGUGGUGCAAUGGUUUGAGUACUGGACUGCAACUCUGGAGACCAGCCUUCGAUUCCCAGCUUGGCUA